UACAGAGGUCUCAAGCGUUGUUCGGAUUCAUUGGGCGUAAAGGGUGCGUAGGCGGCGCGGUAAGUCGGGUGUGAAAUCUUGGAGCUUAACUCCGAAACUGCAUUCGAUACUGCCGUGCUUGAGGACUGGAGAGGAGACUGGAAUUUACGGUGUAGCGGUGAAAUGCGUAGAUAUCGUAAGGAAGACCAGUGGCGAAGGCGGGUCUCUGGGCAACAACUGACGCUGAGGAGCGAAAGCGUGGGGAGCGAACAGG
rnacentral:rRNA from 1 species